UAGGGAAUCUUCCACAAUGGACGCAAGUCUGAUGGAGCAACGCCGCGUGAGUGGAGAAGGUCUUCGGAUCGUAAAACUCUGUUGUUAGAGAAGAACACGAGUGAGAGUAACUGUUCAUUCGAUGACGGUAUCUAACCAGCAAGUCACGGCUAACUACGUGCAAG
rnacentral:rRNA from 1 species